rnacentral:rRNA from 1 species
UACGAAGGGGGCUAGCGUUGUUCGGAAUUACUGGGCGUAAAGCGCACGUAGGCGGCUUUGUAAGUUGGGGGUGAAAUCCCGAGGCUCAACCUCGGAAUUGCCUUCAAGACUGCUUAGCUUGAGAUCGGAAGAGGUGAGUGGAAUUCCCAGUGUAGAGGUGAAGUUCGUAGAGAUUGGGAAGAACACCAGUGGCGAAGGCGGCUCACUGGUCCGAUACUGACGCUGAG